rnacentral:rRNA from 1 species
AAUCAACGCUGGCGGCGUGCCUAACACAUGCAAGUCGCACGAGAAAGGGACUUCGGUCCUGAGUACAGUGGCGCACGGGUGAGUAACACGUGAAUCAUCUACCUUCGAGUGGGGAAUAACUGAGAGAAAUCUUAGCUAAUACCGCAUAAUACCUACGGGUCAAAGCAGCAAUGCGCUUGAAGAGGAGUUCGCGGCAGAUUAGUUAGUUGGCGGGGUAAUGGCCCACCAAGACGAUGAUCUGUAUCCGGCCUGAGAGGGCGCACGGACACACUGGAACUGAAACACGGUCCAGACUCCUACGGGAGGCAGCAGUGGGGAAUUUUGCGCAAUGGGGGAAACCCUGACGCAGCAACGCCGCGUGGAGGAUGAAAUCCCUUGGGAUGUAAACUCCUUUCGAUCGGGAAGAUAAUGACGGUACCGAGAGAAGAGGCCCCGGCUAACUUCGUGCCAGCAGCCGCGGUAAUACGAGGGGGGCAAGCGUUGUUCGGAAUUAUUGGGCGUAAAGGGUGCGUAGGCGGUUUGAUAAGUCACAUGUGAAAUCUUCGGGCUCAACCCGAAGUCUGCAUGCGAAACUGUCG